UUUCUCCCUUCACGACUCGUGCCUCCUCUAGCGCCGUACGGACUCUCCUGCUCCGCUUAUGCGCACGACGCCACUUGAUCAACAUCGUCGUCAUCGUCAUCCGUGGCUGCCACCGCCACACAUCUUAUCGACAUUUUGUUGUUCGUCGUCGACGGCACUCUAUCGUCGUCGUUAUCGUCAUUGAGAAGGUUCCGAUAAUUGAUUUUUCGUGCGUUUGUCGAUCGGAUAGCUUAUUAGCUACGAAGCUGCUUUUGAGGUACCGAGACCGAUUUGCCGGGCGGGGCUGAGACUGAGUGAACGUUAGACGUAGCUAGUUUUAAUUUUAGUCCCUUUUGUUUUUACAUCUAGUAUUUUCGAAUUAUCUAUAUCGUUUGUUAUCUAUUUUGUUUCGUUAUAUCUUCGUACCCACUUUUGUCACUUAUGGUAUUUCCGAACCUCUCUUGUGAUUCGUAGUAAGCUUUAGUCCUAUAGAUGUUAGA